GAAAGCUUCUAAUCAUUUCUAUUCUCUUUAAUCUGGGGCAUUUGAAACGUAAGUAAGUGACUGGUGCGGCAGCCCUCCCUGUGCAGUUCAAAUGUGUGAGUCACAGCCUUGGAGAGCAGGAAGCCGGCAAGGAAUGUGGUGACGUGGUUUCAGGAUCCAUCUGGCAGAGGUCUGUGAUCAGCCUGUUGGAAAACCCACCUCUGGGCACGGUUGCACGAAUGGAGGUUCUGAGCAGGAGGUGGGCCUGAUCAAAGUUGUUUAAUCUGACUUUUAAGGACGGAAAUACUGGAACUCUGGAACCCUGUUGAGAUGCAAUUGCAGGAAUCUAAAUAAAAGGGAACUAACGAAGAUCCAAAGGGAGGAACUAGUCUUGUUUUUUAAAGCUAUUUAAUCCACAAAGUGAAAUAGAAGAUUGAGGUGGAAGACUGAGCCAAUUGCCCAGGAUCCAAGGCUAAGCGACCAACGGAAAACUUGAAGAACUGCGCUGCAGCCUAAAGUGUGGGUGCGCUAUUGGACAGAGGAGACUUUCAAUGCGGAUAAUGGAAUGUACCAGCCAGAAGAGUGCCAAGAAGAAAGAAAUUUAAGCACAAGAAAUACUCCCCAUGAAGACAGAGUCACUCAGGGAGAAUAUGAUGUGACAACAGAGGUGGAGAUUAGAGUGUCAAAUCUGCAAACUAAGGAAGACCAAGAAUUGAUUCACAGCACCAGAGGCCAGAGAGAUACAGAGUCACAAUGUGGCACAACCCUCCAAAUCCUUCAGUUCCUGACUUUAGAACAGCGAUGGACUGAAUUUGUCUUCAAUCCAUCUGGUAGAUCAUGGUUAGCCUAAGGAACCAAUGCAGAGAAGUCACCACAAGACUAAAAUCAGUGCUGUUCAAGAGGCUGUCACUGCAGUUGGUUAUAUCCCAAUAUUUAGUAAAUGCCACAAACUACUGUGUAGCAUGAGUGAAAGAAGAAGGUGACGUAGGCACUGACAAAGUUGGUGUUGUCAGGGCAGUUUGCUACUUGGGAGGCCCUCAAGUAUUGGAGUGUGAAUUGCAUUGUGAGCAGGAGGAAAUGAGGGAGCAUGGGACAAGAGAGAAUAUAAAGACAUAUUGUAGGUUGCUUCCCAGGCUCCUAUUACUUGUUGAGUAGAUAUUUGGGAGUUUAAUUGGAAUCUAAAUAAGAUUCUAAAAUCUUUUAAGAGCAACCUCUGAAAAGAAUGGAGGUCUAGAAAAUACUUCUAAGUGCAAAUAAAGGUGUGUUUCAGACAUUAAAGUAAGGAAAAAAAUAUAAGGAAUUCUGGUUAAAACUUAGUGUAUUCCUGGGAGUUUCCCUAGUUCAUUUUUCUUGAUAACCCCAUAAUGGCUCCCUCUAUCAAGAUUUGUCUUUCCUUGAUCUUCCUCUCUUGUCUUUCCCAUAACUCCAGAAGGAUGACCCCAACUAAGAAUCUAAGCAAUAGGGUAUCCCUUAAUUGCCCUUCCCCUGUAGUCAGAUUGAUGACUACCUUAAUUGUCAUCAUAGAACCUCAUCCAGUAACUGAUGGAAGCAGAUACAAAGAUCUAUAGCUAAUAACUGGGUUGAACUCCUGGAGCCCAGUCAUAGAGAGGAAGGAACGAUAAUAAAUAUAGGGGUCAAGAUCAUGAUGGGAAAAUCCACAGAAACUGAUGACCCAAGCUAGUGGGAGCACACUGACUCCAGACUGGCAGCUAGGGAACCUGCAUAAGACCCUCUGAAUGUGAGUGUGAGUUGUGGGGCUUGGGCAGUGAAACCAGUACUUAUCCCUAGUGCAUGGACUGGCUUUUUGGAGCCCAUUCUCUAUGGAGGAAUACCUUGCUCAGCCUAGAUCCAGGGGAGGGGGAGUGGGGAGGACCUUGGAUCUGCUUCAAGUGAUAUGACAGACUUUGUUGAUUCCCUAUGGGAGGCCUUACCCUCUUCUGAGGAGUGG
ensembl:lncRNA